GACAGAGGGUGCAACGUUGUUCGGAUUUACUGGGCGUAAAGCGCGUGUAGGCGGCUUUGCAAGUCGGAUGUGAAAGCCCACGGCUCAACCGUGGAAGUGCAUCCGAAACUGCAUGGCUCGAGUCUCGGAGAGGAAGGUGGAAUGCUUGGUGUAGAGGUGAAAUUCGUAGAUAUCAAGCAGAACACCUGCGGCGAAGGCGGCCUUCUGGACGAUGACUGACGCUGAGACGCGAAAGCGUGGGGAGCAAACAGG
rnacentral:rRNA from 1 species